AGACGCAGGGAACUGAAACAUCUCAUUACCUGUAGGAAGAGAAAGAAAAUUCGAUUUCCUGAGUAGCGGCGAGCGAAACGGAAAGAGCCCAAACCAAAGAGCUUGCUCUUUGGGGUUGUAGGACAGACGAUAUGUAGUUAAAGAUUUAGUCGAAUGGCAUGGGAAGGCCAAUCACAGAGGGUGACAAUCCCGUAGACGAAAGAUCAAUAACGCUAGUCUGUAUCCUGAGUACGGCGGAACACGUGUAAUUCCGUCGGAAUCCGGGAGGACCAUCUCCCAAGGCUAAAUACUCCCUAGUGACCGAUA
rnacentral:rRNA from 1 species